GAACGAGAAAGCGGGGGCAACUCCGUGAGUAAAGUGGCGUACGGGUGAGUAACACGUAGCUAACCUACCCUCGAGUGAGGAAUAACCUGGGGAAACUCGGGCUAAUACCCCAUAACAUCCCGAGCAAUCGGGAGCAAAGGUCCGCAAGGGCCGCUUGAGGAGGGGGCUGCGGCCGAUUAGCUAGUUGGUGAGGUAACGGCCCACCAAGGCGAUGAUCGGUAGCCGGCCUGAGAGGGCGCACGGCCACACUGGCACUGAAACACGGGCCAGACUCCUACGGGAGGCAGCAGUGGGGAAUUUUGCACAAUGCCCGAAAGGGUGAUGCAGCAACGCCGCGUGAGGGAUGAAGGUCCUCGGAUCGUAAACCUCUUUCGACCGGGAAAAAUGGGCGGGUGUAGAGCCCGCUCUGAUGGUACCGGUGGAAGAAGCCCCGGCUAACUACGUG
rnacentral:rRNA from 1 species